CGUCACGACGUAUGGGGGAGGGGGUGGACUUGCACUGCGCAUGCACGAUAUUUCCCGCGCUUGCCUGUUAAGUCGAGUCGGUUGGUGUUUACGUGUGGUGAGAAGGUGAAUAUAGUAACAAAUGGAUUUGAAGACAACAAGGAGUUUCUGCAGCCAUUUCAUGAAGAAACCAUUAGUUAGUUUUAUUUUAUGUCCUCAGACAUUAAUAAGGAUGACCAGUUGGAUUUUUUCUGUUAUUGUAUGUGGAUCCAUUAUGCAAGGAGGAUUCCAAAAUUUGUCCACUUGCUCUGAACUAAAGUGUGUUCUGAAUGAAAACACCGCAGCUUGUGGAUAUGGAAUUGGUCUUGGCAUUGUAGCAGCACUAAUAUGUUUAUUGUUUUUGCUGCUUGAUUUCUCUGAUCCAUACAUCAAAACUUACUUUUUACAUAAAGUGAUCUGUAUUUCUGACUUUGCCUGUUCUGUUUUCUGCGCUGCUCUUUGGUUUAUUGGAUUCUGCUUCAUGGCAAAAGAGUGGGCUCUGUCAGUACCGGAUGCCUAUCCACUGGGAGUUGCAAGUGUCCAAACUGCAAUUGUCUUCUCCUUUUUUUCUAUUCCUUGCUGGGUGGUGUUGUCAUAUUUGGCCUAUAUGAGGCUUCGCCACAGCCUUUCAAAUGACUAUAAGAAUUCUACAGUGGAAGGCAUUUUUCCUGCCAUGAGAAGACUGUCAUCAAGUAUCGACAAAAUUGACAGUGCAACUCCUCCUAUGACAUCUGCUCAGGAAAUGGAUAAUACAUUGCAAAAUUGAUUUAAAAUAGUACAUGGAUGCUCAUGAGGCUACCUACAGCACCGAAGGGACAGAAGCAGGUUGCUUGUUAAUACACGUCCGAAGUUCAGAAGAGGCAUCACAUGUUGCUUUUGUUCGUAACUGUUUAGAUACUUUUUUGUUGUUGUCAUCUUGUUAGCAGAGGUAGUUUAGUUAUUAUACAUUGUUUAUGAUAAAAAAAAUAUCAUAUCUCAGUAAAUCUUCAUAUGGGCUUUCCUUUGAUAUAUAUUUCUUUCGUAGUAAAAGUUUGGUUAAGAGAGAACAUAUCUUAAAGAGGCUCUCUAUAAAUAUUAUUAUCCAAACAUGUCAGAUAAAGCU